ACGAGUCAAUGGGGAUCUCUCGAGACCCACGGGCGCAAUGAAAGUGAAAAGGUUCGGGUUUGUUGGGAGGGAAACUUGUUUCCCACUUUGACGCCCGAACCGGAGGCGGGAUCCGACGAACCGGCAUUGCUUUAACUUUUCCCUGCGUUCGUAAAAAAAGCGUACGGGGACUGUUUUAGUUUCAAAAUUUUGCCGGCGGCGCACCGCCGGCCCGUCGCAAACGCAACGCCGUUGCGGCGGAGCAAGAGCGUACACGUUGGGACCCGAAAGAUGGUGAUCUAUGCCCGGGCAGGACGAAGCCAGAGGAAACUCUGGUGGAGGUCCGUAGCGAUUCUGACGUGCAAAUCGAUCGUCGGACCUGGGUAUAGGGGCGAAAGACUAAUCGAACCGUCUA
rnacentral:rRNA from 1 species